rnacentral:rRNA from 1 species
UACGGAGGGUGCAAGCGUUAUCCGGAUUCACUGGGUUUAAAGGGUGCGUAGGCGGCUUGAUAAGUCAGUGGUGAAAGCCCGCAGCUCAACUGCGGAAUUGCCAUUGAAACUGCCAAGCUUGAAUCUGGUUGAAGUGGGCGGAAUAUAUCAUGUAGCGGUGAAAUGCUUAGAUAUGAUGUAGAACACCGAUUGCGAAGGCAGCUCACUAAGCCAACAUUGACGCUGAGGCACGAAAGCGUGGGGAGCGAACAGG